UCAGUUGGCCGGGCAACCGCUUGAAAUUGCUUUAGGCAGUUUUGGGAGGAAAGUCCGGGCUCCAUGGAAUAACGGUGCCGGAUAACGUCCGGCGGGGGCGACCCCAGGGAAAGUGCAGCAGAAAACAAACCGCCCAUCUUUGAUGGGUAAGGGUGAAAAGGUGGGGUAAGAGCCCACCGCAUGAUCGGUAACGAGAGUGGCAGUGUAAACCCCACCGGGAGCAAAACCAAAUAGGGAUGACGUGGUGCAUUGCACCGGCAGUUUCCAGGCUAGUCAUCCGGGUAGGUUGCUUGAGGCGAUUUGACCGUGUAAACGGUGCCCCAGACGAAUGGUUGCAUGAAUUUUGCCUUUGGCGAAAUAAUAACAGAACCCGGCUUAUAGGCCGACUGACACA
rnacentral:RNase_P_RNA from 1 species